rfam:Lactobacillus buchneri CD034, complete genome.
UGCGAUGAGUCGAGAAAUCACACAGCAUUUAUGCUGUCGCGCAAGCGAUUAAUGUGAAUUCGAGCGGGACACAAUUUAAGGCACAGAUUUGCUGGUGUUUGACUUUAGCGGAUUGUGGAAUCC